UACGGGGGGAGCAAGCGUUGUUCGGAUUUACUGGGCGUAAAGGGCGCGUAGGCGGCCACCGCAAGUCGGUUGUGAAAUCUCUGGGCUUAACCCAGAAAGGUCAACCGAUACUGCGGGGCUAGAGUGCAGAAGGGGCAACUGGAAUUCCCAGUGUAGCGGUGAAAUGCGUAGAUAUGUGGAGGAACACCGAUGGCGAAGGCAGCCCCCUGGGUCAAGACUGACGCUCAUGCACGAAAGCGUGGGGAGCAAACAGG
rnacentral:rRNA from 1 species